UUGAACGCUGGCGGCAGGCCUAACCCAUGCAAGUCGAACGGUAACAGGAAGAAGCUUGCUUCUUUGCUGACGAGUGGCGGACGGGUGAGUAAUGUCUGGGAAACUGCCUGAUGGAGGGGGAUAACUACUGGAAACGGUAGCUAAUACCGCAUAACGUCGCAAGACCAAAGAGGGGGACCUUCGGGCCUCUUGCCAUCGGAUGUGCCCAGAUGGGAUUAGCUAGUAGGUGGGGUAACGGCUCACCUAGGCGACGAUCCCUAGCUGGUCUGAGAGGAUGACCAGCCACACUGGAACUGAGACACGGUCCAGACUCCUACGGGAGGCAGCAGUGGGGAAUAUUACACAAUGGGCGCAAGCCUGAUGCAGCCAUGCCGCGUGUAUGAAGAAGGCCUUCGGGUUGUAAAGUACUUUCAGCGGGGAGGAAGGGAGUAAAGUUAAUACCUUUGCUCAUUGACGUUACCCGCAGAAGAAGCACCGGCUAACUCCGUG
rnacentral:rRNA from 1 species